UUCCGGUUGAUCCCGCCGGAGGCCACUGCUAUGGGGGUCCGACUAAGCCAUGCGAGUCAUGGGGCGCCUUGCGCGCACCGGCGGACGGCUCAGUAACACGUCGGUAACCUACCCUCGGGAGGGGGAUAACCCCGGGAAACUGGGGCUAAUCCCCCAUAGGCCUGAGGUACUGGAAGGUCCUCAGGCCGAAAGGGGCUCUGCCCGCCCGAGGAUGGGCCGGCGGCCGAUUAGGUAGUUGGUGGGGUAACGGCCCACCAAGCCGAUGAUCGGUACGGGCCAUGAGAGUGGGAGCCCGGAGAUGGACACUGAGACACGGGUCCAGGCCCUACGGGGCGCAGCAGGCGCGAAACCUCCGCAAUGCGGGCAACCGCGACGGGGGGACCCCCAGUGCCGUGGCAUCGCCACGGCUUUUCCGGAGUGUAAAAAGCUCCGGGAAUAAGGGCUGGGCAAGGCCGGUGGCAGCCGCCGCAGUAAUACCGGCGGCCCGAGUGGUGGCCGCUAUUAUUGGGCCUAAAGCGUCCGUAGCCGGGCCCGUAAGUCCCUGGCGAAAUCCCACGGCUCAACCGUGGGGCUUGCUGGGGAUACUGCGGGCCUUGGGACCGGGAGAGGCCGGGGGUACCCCUGGGGUAGGGGUGAAAUCCUAUAAUCCCAGGGGGACCGCCAGUGGCGAAGGCGCCCGGCUGGAACGGGUCCGACGGUGAGGGACGAAGGCCAGGGGAGCGAACCGGAUUAGAUACCCGGGUAGUCCUGGCUGUAAAGGAUGCGGGCUAGGUGUCGGGCGAGCUUCGAGCUCGCCCGGUGCCGAAGGGAAGCCGUUAAGCCCGCCGCCUGGGGAGUACGGCCGCAAGGCUGAAACUUAAAGGAAUUGGCGGGGGAGCACUACAAGGGGUGGAGCGUGCGGUUUAAUUGGAAUCAACGCCGGA
rnacentral:rRNA from 1 species